rnacentral:rRNA from 1 species
GAGUUUGAUCCUGGCUCAGAUUGAACGCUGGCGGCAGGCUUAACACAUGCAAGUCGAACGGUAACAUGAGUGCUUGCACUUGAUGACGAGUGGCGGACGGGUGAGUAAGUAUGGGGAUCUGCCGAAUGGAGGGGGACAACAGUUGGAAACGACUGCUAAUACCGCAUAAUGUUGAGAGACCAAAGCAUGGGACCUUCGGGCCAUGCGCCAUUUGAUGAACCCAUAUGGGAUUAGCUGGUUGGUAGGGUAAUGGCUUACCAAGGCGACGAUCUCUAGCUGGUCUGAGAGGAUGACCAGCCACACUGGAACUGAGACACGGUCCAGACUCCUACGGGAGGCAGCAGUGGGGAAUAUUGCACAAUGGGGGGAACCCUGAUGCAGCCAUGCCGCGUGUAUGAAGAAGGCCUUCGGGUUGUAAAGUACUUUCGGUAAUGAGGAAGGUGGUGUAUCUAAUAGGUGCAUCAAUUGACGUUAAUUACAGAAGAAGCACCGGCUAACUCCGUGCCAGCAGCCGCGGUAAUACGGAGGGUGCGAGCGUUAAUCGGAAUGACUGGGCGUAAAGGGCAUGUAGGCGGAUAAUUAAGUUAGGUGUGAAAGCCCUGGGCUCAACCUAGGAAUUGCACUUAAAACUGGUUAACUAGAGUAUUGUAGAGGAAGGUAGAAUUCCACGUGUAGCGGUGAAAUGCGCAGAGAUGUGGAGGAAUACCGGUGGCGAAGGCGGCCUUCUGGACAGAUACUGACGCUGAGAUGUGAAAGCGUGGGGAGCAAACAGGAUUAGAUACCCUGGUAGUCCACGCUGUAAACGAUGUCGAUUUGGAGUUUGUUGCCUAGAGUGAUGGGCUCCGAAGCUAACGCGAUAAAUCGACCGCCUGGGGAGUACGGCCGCAUGGUUAAAACUCAAAUGAAUUGACGGGGGCCCGCACAAGCGGUGGAGCAUGUGGUUUAAUUCGAUGCAACGCGAAGAACCUUACCUGGUCUUGACAUCCACAGAAUCUUGCAGAGAUGCGGGAGUGCCUUCGGGAACUGUGAGACAGGUGCUGCAUGGCUGUCGUCAGCUCGUGUUGUGAAAUGUUGGGUUAAGUCCCGCAACGAGCGCAACCCUUAUCCUUUGUUGCCAGCGAUUCGGUCGGGAACUCAAGGGAGACUGCCGUUGAUAAAGCGGAGGAAGGUGGGGACGACGUCAAGUCAUCAUGGCCCUUACGACCAGGGCUACACACGUGCUACAAUGGCGUAUACAAAGGGAGGCGA